rnacentral:tRNA from 1 species
CGAAAUAUAAUGCAGCGUGAUAAAGGGAUCUCUUUAUCCGACUAGUUCCGGGUUCGAAUCCCGGGCAACCCA